UCCGACGUAUUGACACCAGAGGCGGCUUGUGGCUGUAAUAUGUGGGUGUUCACUCAAACUCUCAUUGUGAGCACCAAAAUCUUACAUGUAUGUACCUAGUAUGACGGUACUCCUGUGUGGAUUUUCGAUAUGCUGAAUCUAAGGCCUUGCAUAUUUCCUGACGACCGAUCAUUCAAACGGGUUUCGGUCCAUGCACACUCACCACCUCCGUCGUCCGCGCCACUUCCAAAUAAAAGCAAUGGAAAAACAGUUUAUCACUUUUGUCACACUCACAUAACCACUGGGCUUUUAAUUCUAAUCGUGUUGCUAAAGUUUUUGCACACACUUUUAUAAAUGUCACAUUGCAUCCAUCCAUACUCACACACUGAAAUUAUUUUACACUUGCAAUUAAAACAAUUUAAUUAUGCGGUUUCAAAUUAAGUCUAAAUCGUAUUCCCGCGGGUGCCUAAAACUUGUUUACUUAAGUAACAAAAUAGCGCGCGAAAUAAGUACGCGGAUGGCAGCGGCGCGCAUCGCGCCUGCGCUGUGCAACGUGGCGGCAAUCAAGGACAAACGCACAGACCUAUAUCGAGAUAGAAGGAAAAAGCUCGGCGGUUGACAAGACCAACCGUGUAACAUUUUGCAUGAACACUUGACGUCACGAAUAUGAGUUGACUCGACAGUUUGAAUAGCUCAUUUUUACGUCGCUCGUAAUCUAAGAACAAAUGAAAUUAUUUUCAUUACACGCAUUGUUAUGACACUUAUUUCAUUUUUAUAUAGAUAUCGCUCGCUUUGAACGCACGCCAAGUCGAGGUUGUCAAAUUAAAGCCGCAAUGAACAAAAUAACAACAACGCAGACUGUCGUUUGCGGCGGGGACAGAGGUCGUUGAGUCUUCUUUUUGCCACGCGAAGUACUAAAUAUGAUACUUUUGCCUUCUAUUUUGAUAUAGUUCUGUGGUCGGUGCGGCGCUCCCGAUUUACCUAAUAUUUCAUAGAUAAUCGUCUGUCUCACGCGCGGAGCUGUGUCUAAGCUUCUCUUUCGCUCUUACUGAAUUUUCU